GGGAGAGGAAUCCAGCAAGAAAUGCAUAGUUUAAGGCAAGUAAAGGAAAGAAACACAACUUUUCUUUCACCACAAGGCUUCUGGUUUGAGGUGUCCGUGUGCCAAAGAUGCCACUGGGUGCAGGGGUGUUGCAAGGCAGUUCUCAGCUGCUGCCCAGGGGCCAUAGAGAUCAGGAGCUCGAUGACUUCUCUGUCUUUUUUUUUUAGUAUUAUUAAAUCUUCUCCAUAUAAACCAAUAUUUACCAGUAAUCCUGUGUUUCUGUUUUUGUGUUUUGGCAGACUUUUACAGUAAAUAUCGGUUAUUCCUGAAACCAGAAAGCCCUAAACAUACCUUUGUUUAUAAGCCUGGGUGGUUCCGAUUGCUGGCAGUUCUGUAAUACGACUUUAAUGUGAGCACUUGAGCCUGGUCCUACCUUACCUUCAGACAUCUUGCAGAGGACUCCUGUUGCCAGUUGGCCCUUGAAAGCUGCACCCCAGCACCAGAAGUCACAUCUUGCAGAGGCAGUGAUAGGUUCCCCUCUCUAGCUCUGAUGGACAAACCACAUUGCAGUGCACCUUUCUAAUGAACUGUUCCUAUGUUCUAAUCCCCUUGUGAGCUCAAACUGGAGCAGAGACCUGUUAAAGCCUGAUGGUGUCCCUUUAACAGCAUAAAGAUGUUCACCUUCUCUGAAACGCCACUAGAAGUUCUUUUCUUUUUAAGGCAGGGGAGAAUUGGGCUGUGAUCAUGUUUGCAACAUAACUUGCCUGAAAAUACCAAAAAGAAAAAAACCACAAAAGCUCUCCAAGUUUUCACGGCAGUGGGUGAUUCUUUCCUGAGUGUAAAAGUUAAUCUUGAUUAGAGAUGUGCCAAUCUAUACUGCUUUAUUGUAGUGUUACACUUAGGCUUUUUCAGUUCACUUCCAAAUAUAUACUGUAACAGUAUACUUUGUACAGACUGAUUUAAAGCUGGUUUGAAAAACUGAAAUAAAGUAGGCAGAAAAAUAAAGAUAUUUAUUUUUCAUUUGACUACGUAAGAAGGUAUCGUUCUUUUGGUUUUAGUGCACUGGUGUACCAAGCCUCAGAACCACUGAUUUCUGCAGCUCAUAGGAUGCUUUCCCAAGACUGUGGAUACGUGUAUGUGUACUGCUGUGGUGAUAAGUAAAUGCCAACAAUGGAGCUCGUUGCUUUUAUACAUCCAAAACAGAAGUUCUCCACUGUUCACUCUCUGUUCUCUGACCAAAAUAAAACAGGCAUGUGUUCGUGAACAGUAUCCACCCAAGUUCUGCCACUCCACUCUCACAUCAGCUUACACCAGUGCCAGGAUGGAAGGAUUUGCCUGCGUACCUUCCCCAGAACAGCCCUGUCCACGCUGGCAUCAUCAGGGAGCGGAUCAGACAUGCGUCCUUUGGGCUUUGUGUAAGGCAGAACAAGAAAACCCAAGAUGCUACAUCCAUUAGAGACAGAUUCCUUACUGUACAGUAGUAUGGAGAUCUCUAGUCAACCUGCCAUUAAGAAUAGAUUCUUAUUUUUUUGAAUGAUCUAUUUAAAAGAACAGCAAGCAUUGUAUUUGCCUAGUAAAUCUGAAGUGUUUACAUGGAAUUCCUAAAUAAAUUAUUUGAUCUAA